UACGGAGGGUGCAAGCGUUAUCCGGAUUCAUUGGGUUUAAAGGGUGCGUAGGCGGAAUAUUAAGUCAGUGGUGAAAUCCUGCAGCUCAACUGUAGAAUUGCCAUUGAUACUGGUAUUCUUGAGUGCGCUUGAAGUAGGCGGAAUGUGCCGUGUAGCGGUGAAAUGCUUAGAUAUGGCACAGAACACCAAUUGCGAAGGCAGCUUACUAAGGCGAUACUGACGCUGAGGCACGAAAGCGUGGGGAUCGAACAGGAUUAGAUACCCCCGUAGUCC
rnacentral:rRNA from 1 species